rnacentral:rRNA from 1 species
CAAGGCUUGACAUAUACGAGAACGCUCUAGAAAUAGAGAACUCUUUGGACACUCGUAUACAGGUGGUGCAUGGUUGUCGUCAGCUCGUGUCGUGAGAUGUUGGGUUAAGUCCCGCAACGAGCGCAACCCUCGUUCUAUGUUGCCAGCGCGUUAUGGCGGGAACCCAUAGGAGACUGCCGGGGUCAACUCGGAGGAAGGUGGGGAUGACGUCAAAUCAUCAUGCCCCUUAUGUCUUGGGCUUCACGCAUGCUACAAUGGCCGAUACAAAGGGCUGCAAUACCGUAAGGUGGAGCGAAUCCCAAAAAGUCGGUCUCAGUUCGGAUUGAGGUCUGCAACUCGACCUCAUGAAGUCGGAGUCGCUAGUAAUCGCAGAUCAGCAACGCUGCGGUGAAUACGUUCCC